rnacentral:rRNA from 1 species
AAGAAUCUUCCGCAAUGGGCGAAAGCCUGACGGAGCGACGCCGCGUGAACGAAGAAGGCCGUGAGGUUGUAAAGUUCUUUUCGGGAGGGGGAACAACCGUGGCAGGGAAUGGCCGCGGGAUGACGUGAAUCCCGGAAUAAGCCCCGGCUAACUACGUGCCAGCAGCCGCGGUAACACGUAGGGGGCGAGCGUUGUUCGGAAUCAUUGGGCGUAAAGGGCGUGCAGGCGGUCCUGCAAGUCCGGCGUGAAAGACCCCGGCCCAACCGGGGGGACGCGCUGGAAACUGCAGGGCUUGAGUACAGGAGGGGAUGCCGGAAUUCCAGGUGUAGGGGUGAAAUCUGUAGAUAUCUGGAAGAACACCAAUGGCGAAGGCAGGCAUCUGGCCAUGUACUGACGCUGAGACGCGAAGGUGCGGGGAGCAAACAGGUUUAGAUACCCUGGUAGUCCGCACAGUAAACGAUGUGCACCAGGUGGCGGGGGGUCGACCCCCGGUACCGUAGCUAACG